GUUUCUUCGGAAAUGGAUUAGCGGCGAACGGGUGAGGAACACGUGAAGAAUCUGCCCUCCACUUUGGGAUAACACCGGGAAACCGGUGCUAAUACCGAAUAUUGAAACAUAAGUGGCAUCACUGAGUUUUGAAAGAAUUUCGGUGGAGGAUGACUUCGCGGCCUAUCAGCUAGUUGGUGAGGUAAUGGCUCACCAAGGCAACGACGGGUAGCCGGCCUGAGAGGGCGACCGGCCACACUGGGACUGAGACACGGCCCAGACUCCUACGGGAGGCAGCAGUGGGGAAUAUUGGGCAAUGGAGGAAACUCUGACCCAUCGACGCCGCGUGCGGGAUGAAGGCCUUCGGGUUGUAAACCGCUUUCAGUAGGGAAGAAGCGAAAGUGACGGUACCUACAAAAGAAGCACCGGCUAACUAUGUGCCAGCAGCCGCGGUAAUACAUAGGGUGCAAGCGUUGUCCGGAAUUAUUGGGCGUAAAGAGCUCGUAGGUCGUUUGUUACGUCGGAUGUGAAAACCUGAGGCUCAACCUCAGGCCUGCAUUCGAUACGGGCAAACUAGAGUUUGGUAGGGGAGACUGGAAUUCCUGGUGUAGCGGUGGAAUGCGCAGAUAUCAGGAGGAACACCAAUGGCGAAGGCAGGUCUCUGGGCCAAUACUGACACUGAGGAGCGAAAGUCUGGGGAGCGAACAGGAUUAGAUACCCUGGUAGU
rnacentral:rRNA from 1 species